rnacentral:rRNA from 1 species
AUUGAACGCUGGCGGCAGGCCUAACACAUGCAAGUCGAACGGCAGCACAGAAGAGCUUGCUCUUUGGGUGGCGAGUGGCGGACGGGUGAGUAAUGUCUGGGAAACUGCCCGAUGGAAGGGGAUAACUACUGGAAACGGUAGCUAAUACCGCAUAACGUCGCAAGACCAAAGUGGGGGGCCUUCGGGCCUCACACCAUCGGAUGUGCCCAGAUGGGAUUAGCUAGUAGGUGGGGUAAUGGCUCACCUAGGCGACGAUCCCUAGCUGGUCUGAGAGGAUGACCAGCCACACUGGAACUGAGACACGGUCCAGACUCCUACGGGAGGCAGCAGUGGGGAAUAUUGCACAAUGGGCGCAAGCCUGAUGCAGCCAUGCCGCGUGUAUGAAGAAGGCCUUCGGGUUGUAAAGUACUUUCAGCGGGGAGGAAGGCGGUGAGGUUAAUAACCUCGCCGAUUGACGUUACCCGCAGAAGAAGCACCGGCUAACUCCGUGCCAGCCGCCGCCGUAA